UGAGGAAUAUUGCGCAAUGGGGGCAACCCUGACGCAGCGACGCCGCGUGGGUGAGGAAGGCUUUCGGGUCGUAAAACCCUGUCAGAAGGGAAGAAGUGCUUAUGGGUUAAUAUCUUGUAAGCUUGACGGUACCUUCAAAGGAAGCACCGGCUAACUCCGUGCCAGCAGCCGCGGUAAUACGGAGGGUGCAAGCGUUGUUCGGAAUCACUGGGCGUAAAGGGCGCGUAGGCGGCUUGGCAAGUCAGAUGUGAAAGCCCACGGCUUAACCGUGGAAGUGCAUUUGAAACUGCUUGGCUUGAGUAUCAGAGGGGAAAGUGGAAUUCCCGGUGUAGAGGUGAAAUUCGUAGAUAUCGGGAGGAAUACCGGUGGCGAAGGCGACUUUCUGGCUGAAUACUGACGCUGAGGCGCGAAAGCGUGGGGAGCAAACAGGAUUAGAUACCCUGGUAGUCCACGCCGUAAACGAUGUCAACUAGGUGCAGGGGGUGUUGAUCCCCUCUGUGUCGCAGCUAACGCAUUAAGUUGACCGCCUGGGGAGUACGGUCGCAAGAUUAAAACUCAAAGGAAUUGACGGAA
rnacentral:rRNA from 1 species